AUUCACACAUCUCAACUUCAUUCCACUUGUUUCUCAUUUGAAACCUCACAACUCUUAUUUCACAACUCAAUUUUGUUUUUCAUUAUUUUUCUUCCAAGCAAGCAUUCAUUUUCAUUUUCCUAUUUUUUUUUCUUUUCACAUCGUAUAUAUUUUUUUUCAAUGCUUGCUCGGUUUUUCAAGAGUUGUGGCACUUACCGAUUCUCAUUUUCGUUCUCCCCAACUUAUCUUUUAC
rnacentral:lncRNA from 1 species